rnacentral:tRNA from 1 species
GGAUCUGUAGCUCAGCUGGAUAGAGCGCCUGUCUACGGAACAGGAGGUCAUAGGUUCGACUCCUAUCAGAUCCACCA